GUUCGGAUCAGUGUUUGUAGGACCAAAGUGAGAGCUUCCAAGCCCCCUUCUCAUCUCUUUCUGUGGUUAGUGUUCUGAUGUCCCAAAAUAAAUAAUCUUUGAAGUAAUUCUUGAUUCUUAGAUCAACUAGAGAACUCUCCGGAAACUUCCUCUCUUCCCACCAAAAAUAAUUAUAUAGUUAUCCUUGUGCGAUCUUGAAUCUUAAUUAGUACACUCAUGUUCCCUGUGGAAAAUCGAUACUCUAGAAUACUCCCGGGUAAAAGCUACAUCGGUAUCCGUGCACUUGCGGAUUUUUCUGUUUGCGUUUAAAAUACCCAACAAGCUUUCUGGCACCGUUGCCGGGGAACGGUAGGUGUGCUAGUUUCGAACCAAGUCGUCCGUGUAUCCUUUUUCUUUUCUUUUUUUUACCACACUCACCUUACCAUUUUCACCAUACCACAAGGAUUUCACUCCAAACAUUAAUGAGCAUGGAAUUUAUUUCAUAGCCGCUUCAUUUACUCCAUGCUCAUAUGCAACAUCUUCCCAAUGUAUUGGUCUCUCCGACAUCACCACAUUCAAGAUAUCCAACCCCAUCUUCAUUUCUAUUUAUAAAAACUUAAAAGGGCGGUUGUCGAUGCAUAUGUUUAUAAUAAAUAUUACAGAUCUCGUGGAGGUGAAACCACUUCGCUGACAUAAAUUGAUGGUUUCCCAAGGACAAGCUUAGUGUCCUAAAAUAAGCACUGAUGAGAUCGUAACAUGAGCUUUUAAUUAUUUGCAACAUUACCUUGUGUAUUGAGCAU
rnacentral:lncRNA from 1 species